CCCCCCCCCCCCCCAAAUAAAACAAUCUGUUAGAGAAACCACUCAAUAUGUGCUAAAAAGUACAUUUAGUCCUUUGUAUAAUUCUGUUUUGGAAAACUUCACGUUUGGCUGGUUGCUGCUGUCCUUUAUCUGGAAGAAUUCCUCAUGGCAUAAAGAUACCAUAAGUCACGGCUUGAAUAUCUCAAAGGCUCAACUUUCAUGGAGUCUUUAUUCAUAUUUUUAAGUGCGUGCUAUAGGUAUUCUUUCUCCCUGCUGGUUAGGCACUUAACUCCAGAAGCAUUGCCUCACUUAUCUAUUUACACCUAGCCUACAUAGGGGACCAGAUGUGGACAGAGGACUACAUGUGCUAACCCACCAAAGAUGGAUAAUCUGAUCAACUAGGUUCUUGUUGGAAGUACUCUAACAAAUCAUAUGUAACCAUUGGUUUAUAUACAGGAAGAGGUUAGAAAGGAAGAAAAAAACAUGAAACACAGUGACGUUAAGCUUUACGUUAUUUACCAUCCUUGUACCUGUAGGUAAGCCAUCACAUGCUGUGUGCUGAUGAAGAACCUGCUUAAAGAAGUAUAAAAAUGUUUUGAAAGCUAUACCCACAUGGUAACGCUUCUUAAUGGUAAAUGGCACAAUUUCACUAGAAGAUUGUGUCUGUCCUGUUUAAAAUGCCCCAUAGCCCUGUUUUUUGGUCUUUAUUGAAUGUUAGUCCAUUACUGUGACAUUUGUGAUCAGUCAUCACUGAUGUUUUGUUUCUUGAAUAUUAUCCUAGGUAAAUACUACUUGCCAACUUUAUCAAAUCAAUUAUUGUACUUCUAAACUCUGGUCUACUGAACAUGCUGGUGGACAGCUACAAUGUAGACUUUCCUCAACGUAGGGCAGUUUCCUUUAAAAAAAAAAAAAAAAAAAAAGUUUUGUCAUACAGAAUGUUUGUUUUUUGUUCCCAUUACAUAAGACGACCGUUCUAACCUUCCUGGGAGUGUUAAUUCCUAUGGCAAGGUUGAUGUUUGGUGGUAGCCUGGUUCACCUUCACAAAUAAAAAGACAAAAGACAAAAUAAACUUGUUAUUUGUAGUCUUAACGGAAUAAAGACUGGAGAGUUCCCAUGGGCUGUGGACAUCGUACAAAUGCCAAGGUUCCUUAACCUUAAUAAAGAAAAGCGAAAUCCUGCGAGACACUCAGGAUGUGUAAAUCAUGCACCGCAAACCAGGUAACAGAAUUCCCUAAUACUGCUCUCCGCACGUCAAAUGUAAUGUCAGUUGCAUUCUAACCAGGCAGCAGCAUAGUGUGUGUUUAUUGGUCCUUCUGACUGACCACGAUUGCUGCUGCCUGGAUAAACUGUUACAGGCUGUGAAUAUAAAGAUUAAUCUCCAUGUAAACUGAUAGCAGAUUGACCAUUAUCCACAAACGUUAUCAAAAAGCUUUAAAAGCCAUUAUGUAAAAUAGCGAACUGUAACCAUUCCUACUUUAAUGCUAGUUGACUUAAAAAGGUUUCCAAGUUGCCUUUAAUGCCAAUAGACUUUAAAUCUGCUACCGUUUAGAAUAUAAAAAAGAUCUGCUCAGUUAUUUAAACUCAAACACCCAUUUUAAGCUCCUCACUUUUUAUUUUUACUUUUUAUUUUUUUCCUUCCAUGGUCUAAAUGUUUUCUGCUGAGCUGACAUAUAUUUUCUUGCUUCACAGAUGGUGGUUGUCCGUGUCUCAAGAGUUUGACACACAGAUGGGUGCUAUAGAAAUCUUACAAUCCUUCCCUUAUGCACCAUAAAAUGUGGCGCUGUAGAAAGCUUGUUCUUUGAUGCUUGAGGAACAUGGACUGAUCAGUCAUGGAAGUGAACCUACCAGUGGGCUCAUUAAUGGAGCUUAAUGAGGAUUGUAAUGAAAUGGUACAUACAGUUGGUCAUUAAUUGGAAUUCAUGGGAAGGUCAGGCAAUAUAUAAGAUUAACUCUUUAGCAGAAGGUGGUUUCAAUUGCCUUAUCUUGUUUUCUGGUUUAUCAGUGCUGUUGAACAGUGGCCUCCCAGGCAAUUCUGUUAGUUGGGGACAAUAGGGUCAAAUGUAUUAUGUUGACUGAAUCAUUGAUCUGCAGAAAUUCACCAUUAUAAACAUUGGUCAUAGUUCUAACCGUUCAACCCUGAAUGUAAUUAUGUACAUAGAUUGAGGGCAAUUCAGAGUUGGAUGUAAGUCGGCCACCAUUACACAUGCACUACGUGCAUAAAACUAAAUGCAUAUAGGCUGAAUUGUAUGUCACCACACCUCACUCCUGCUUAUGCUUGUUAAAACACCUGUUAGCAGCAGCAUGACUAUUUUACACACAACUCUGUAUAGCCCCCAAUUCUGACUAGACAUACACUCUAAACUUGGCCUACAUGCUUAAGCCUGCCCCCCCAAAUCCAACACUUAUUGGGUAUUAUGCAAGCUGUUAACAGUUACGAGUACUGGACCAGGUUGAGCUCAUAACUUAUGUCUCGGGGACCCAUCGAUUUCAAAAUUUGAGAUCCUACUUUAUAUUAGGGUCCAAUCCUUUAUUUUGUAAAGAAUACAAGCUUGCGUAUUCCAUGGCACCACAUUAACAAUCAUACUUAAUAAAAUACUGACCUAAUCAAGUGAUAGUCAUUAUUUGUGUGCAGCAAUAAUGAGUAUAAAGUGAUAUAAUUCUAUGGAGUAUUUAAAAGAAUACAUACAUCUAAAAUUCAUAAAAAGCAGUAUGAUGUGGCUGCUGAGGUGACCAUAACUAUAUGGCUAAUAAGCCUAACACUACCAUUACUAUAUGGCUAAUGAGCCUAAGGGGCCCUACACAUUUGACGAUGUGCCGCCGAGGUGCCCAACGGCCAAAACGGCCGACGAGCGACCCGGCGGCGGGGGGGCAGUGACGGGGGGAGUGAAGUUUCUUCACUCCCCCCGUCACGCGGCUGCAUUGAAGUGCAGGCAAAUAUGGACGAGAUCGUCCAUAUUGGCCUGCAUGCUCGGCUGACGGGAGACCAGCGAUGAACGAGCGCGGGGCCGCGCAUCGUUCUUCGCUGGAGUCUUCACACUGAAAGAUAUGAACGAGUUCUCGUUCAUUUAUGAACGAGAUCGUUCAUCUCUUUCAGAAAAUCGGCCAGUGUGUAGGGCCUAUUACACUACAUGCGGUCACUAGACUGGAAAUUCAAGUAAUGACUCAUUUUGUUACUCUUAGAGAUUGGCACUGUGAGGAAUGAUCAGUAACUGGUUAUUUAUGUGCAACCUUAAUCUGAAAUGAAUAUGGCCAAUACGUUAAUAUACUAGUGUGACCGUAUACUGCAGAUCAUUCUCUAGCAGUAACCAAUUGCUAAUACAUUUAUUUUCUAAAAAUAAAAUAAAGCGCAUAUAAUCUAUUCUACACAGCUACGUCCUAGUUGCCAAACCUCAAUAAACCAGGAGAGAGAAAAAUGAAGCCAUGUGGGAAAAUUAUUGCAAAUAAAAGCAAAUAGCUGUUACUCUGUAAAAGAGACAAGGAAAACCACAGCUAAAGUUAAUGGCUUCUAUAAUAAACAGUAUUCUGCUAAAAAUCAACAUUCAUUAGACACAACAUAGUUACAUGUAUAUAAAACACCUAUAAAUUACACUAUUAAUCUAUGCAGGAGACUACUCAUUACAGCGUAACAUUAGAUAACAUAUGAAGACGUUAUCAGCAAGUGAUAAGAUUUUGUUCCUUAAACUGGAGUCAUUCACGUAAUAGCGUGUGGCUUCAUUUUCUUUAUAUUAGGUCAUUUUUGUAGACCAUGGUGAUUAGAUGCAGUGAACAGCAAAUCACAUGUAAAUUGCUUUUCCGAUCACUUGGCAAAACCUCUGGCAUGACUGGUACUGAUGUCAGUAGUUCUGUGUCACAUAAGUUACAAGCCAAUAGUGGCCAAGGAAGUUGCUGCACUGAGGAGAGAACGUGGAACACAGGAAGGGAACAUUACCCUCACCGAGAAUUAUACACUAUAGAAUUACACUUCACAACAUUAGACUGCUUCACCCUGCUUUGCUCACUACAGUCCCAUCUCACAUACUGAUAGAGGUAACUGCAUUUAUGUGCCUAUUAUCCAGAGGGAGUGUGCCUUCAGUUUGCAAAAAGACCCUCACUGCCAUAUAUCAAUGAUAUACUCUCUGUAGUGAGAACACUGAACAUAGAAACUGCACUUGCCAAAUUAUAGUUCCUUGUCAAAAUAGCUUUCUCCUCUGAAACUGUAACCAUAAUAGUUUAAACAUGCUCAUUACACCUCAUCAGCAGCUUCAAUGGAUGGCACUGCAAAUUUGUCCCCAUAGCUGACAGUCUUCUGUAUGUGUUAGAGAAAACACUUACAGGUUGAGUAUCCCAUAUCCAAAUAUUCCAAAAUACGGAAUAUUCCGAAAUAUGGACUUUUUUGAGUGAGAUAGUGAAACCUAUGUUUUUUGAUGACUCAAUGUACACAAACUUUGUUUAAUACACAAAGUUAUUAAAAAUAUUGUAUUAAACAACCUUCAGGCUGUGUGUAUAAGGUGUAUAUGAAACCUAAAUGAAUUGUGCGAAUGUACACACACUUUGUUUAAUGUACAAAGUUUUAUAAAAAAUGUUGGCUAAAAUUACCUUCAGGCUGUGUGUAUAAGAUGUAUAUGAAACAUAAAUGCAUUCUGUGCUUAGAUUUAGGUCCCAUCACCAUGAUAUCUCAUUAUGGUAUGCAAUUAUUCCAAAAUACGGAAAAAUCCCAUAUCCAAAAUACCUCUGGUCCCAAGCAUUUUAGAUAAGGGAUACUCAACCUGUAUAACAAUGGUACCUUGUUCCUACACGCUUUCGAGACCUAUUUCCCCAGACAUGGGAGAGAUUUUGGAGGGGAUGUGGAGAGGAGGGCACCUUUGCUCAUAUUUGGUGGCACUGCCCUAUAAUGAAGUGCUUCUGGGAUAUGAUCGUUUAAUUCUCUCGUAGGUAUAUCCCACACUGUGUCUCGUAUUCCAUUCUACCACUGCCCAUUCUUGAAUGUGAUAGAACUACUCAAGCACUUGCUCAUACAUCCUUAACGCAGCUAACUGCCGUUGCAGCUCACUGGAAGUCAGUAAAUCCCCCAACCUUCCUCUGCACUACAUAACUCUAUCUGGCACACUAAUCACUUAGAGCACAUCACCAGCUACCUGCAUGAGUGUCUGCUCAAAUUCACUAAUACCUGCUCCCCCUGGAUCUCUUAUGAGGCGCAUGCUUGUACCUUUUCUAGGUUUGUUUUACAUAGCUACUGCCAAGUCACCCAACCCUACCUCCUUCUUGCAGUUACACUUCCCAACGCUCCUUCGCUCCCUUAUUUCUUCUGUCCCCCCCCUAAUCCACCUGUUCAGAAUGUUAUGCUUGAUGGUUACUUGAUUUUUCAUUAAAUGCAAUUUUCAGAUUGAUUUCUGCCUGUAUGCUUUUGAUGUAAAAUUUAAAUAAAACUCAAAAAAAUAAAUUGUCCCUACUUGGAAAUGUCAUUUCUUCCUUUGAAUAAAUUGUGUAGGUUGACAGAAGGGUGCUCUUCUGGCGUAAUGGGCUUUUUGGGAGGUAUUGUGUCAUUUUUGAGAGGAAAGUUGGUACUACUGAUAAGAUUUGUCGCAAUGUAUUCUAAGAUUUCUAGAUUCUGUUAAGAAAAAAAACCACCCCAAAAUAAAUAUGUAUAUUUUAAAGA